CGCCACCGCGCCUGCCUCCCGGCCACGGCGCCCGCCGCCGCGCACCACCUCCCGACCAGGGCGCCCGCUGCCGCGCCCCACCUCCCGACCAUGGCGCCCGCCGCCACACACUACCUCCCGGCCAUGGCACCCGCCGCCGCGCCCCACCUCCCGGCCAUGGCGCCCACCGCCGCGCACCACCUCCCGACCAUGGAGCCCCACCUCCCAGCCAUGGUGCCCGCCUCCGCGCCCCACCUCCCGGACACGCGCCCCAACUGGUGCUUCGGAGGGACGAGAUUCUAGAUGGCAAAACAGUUGUUGAUGCUUGUUGUGAGUCGUUGCAUCUCACCAUAUCAGAAAUCUGCUCCGGAACCUUUUUUCGCAUCGCUAGAUCUAUGUAGCCCGCCAGGUCCACAAUAAUCCAGCUACAGAUUACUGGAUGAAGUAAGUGGGAUGACAGGUAAGGUAAUUUGGAAGCAAAUUAUCAUCAUCCUAUAGAUAACAAUCAGAUAAAACAGAAGGAGCUGUAUGAAGCAAUUUUGAGUCUGGACUGUUGCAGCAACUUCUACUCCCUCCAUUUUUGUAUACAAGGCCACAAACUCAUAUUACAGGUACCAAGAUAGAAACUAAUGACUACUUUAGUCAAUGUUGAAAACUAGUCUUUUCUCCUCGCUUCACGUGUUGAUUAAUGUGUAUUUUUCUCUACAACACACAACAAGACAACUCUCUCACUCCUCGUUGGUUGAUUAAUGCGGUGCACUAAAAUCAACCUUCUUACCCCCACAUGCAUGCAUGGGGUAUUAAUGUCCUCGAUUGCUAGUAUGAGGCAAAUCUCAUAAAUUUUAUCUCGAUUGAUGUUAGUGGCCUUGUAUAGCUGCAAAUUUUAAUUUUGAUAGUGGCCUUGUAUACAAAAAUGGAGGAAGUAUUACUGAUGAAGCAAUUUUGAGUCUGGACUGUUGCAGCAACUUCUAUUACUGAUCCUUGAAUAACAGGACAAUGCGAUAAUAAAGUGUACGUUUGUCAGACCCAUCUCUGCUCACGCGUGUGCACCUGCACUUGGGACUACAGCGGUGCCGUGGACUGAGAAGUCUGAGAUCCACUCUCUUUCUUUCUAGCUUUCUCGAAUCUCCCUGCUCAUUCCCCACCUCCACCAUUCCCCCAUCUCCCUAGCGCAUUUGUUGCUCUCGCCGCCGGCUGGAGCCGCCCCAGCGUGGCUCAUCCGUCUCCUCUCCACCGGCAGUAGAAAUCGAAUGCUCCUCGCCCGCGCAACACGCGUCGGCGAGGCACCUCUUCCGCCGGCUCCUCGCCUGCGCAACACGCGUCGGUGAGGAAUCGAUUCCACUCGAAGCAGAGGGCUGUCUGGAGAGGGAGAAGCCGACGGAGGAGGUGAGGAGCUCGAAAGAGUAGGAGGAAGCGAGGCUGCGAUAGAGGCAAAGGAGAAGAGGAAGCGGCGGGGCAGGGUGUGGCGGUGGCAAAAGCUCCGGCAUGCUCGCCAUUGGGCAUUGAUGGCGGCGAGAGCUAGCUAGGCACGGCAAGUCCCAACGAGGUUCACCAUCCACGCGAUUCAUAUCCUGCAGGCUGGUCUCGCCGAUUGAUUCUCUCCUCUGGGGCUUCACCAAGGUCGUCGUCUACAUGCUAGCUAAACUAAUCGACCAUACGUGCAGCCCAGCCCGCGGUUCGACAUGGGACUUCGUUUGCUUCGUCUAGAACUUCUGCAUCAUGAGCCUCGUAAUUAAAGAUGGACGCCAUGCUCUUUCUUCCUCUGUCUAGUGGGUGACUAAUGAAGUUAGAGCGUGAGGAAUUGCUGAUGCGGCCAUUGAGCCACCCAAGCAGAGUCUUGAAGCAGUCGUAGCCAUAUAAUACCUCUGUUAUGACUAAUCUCACAGCAUCCUGAAGCUGCGGCAAUACAUCCUUCUUUGUUGCUGUAUGCUUGCCGCUUGUGGGCAGAAUUAUAAACCUGGGAGUUAGCACCAGAUGAACAGUCAUGAAAUUAAAUUCAUUGUGGAGAACAAAGAUAAAUUUGUUGAUUAUGUGUCAAACCUCUGC